GACGAACGCUGGCGGCGUGCUUAACACAUGCAAGUCGAACGGAAAGGCCCUGCUUUUGUGGGGUGCUCGAGUGGCGAACGGGUGAGUAACACGUGAGUAACCUGCCCUUGACUUUGGGAUAACUUCAGGAAACUGGGGCUAAUACCGGAUAGGAGCUCCUGCUGCAUGGUGGGGGUUGGAAAGUUUCGGCGGUUGGGGAUGGACUCGCGGCUUAUCAGCUUGUUGGUGGGGUAGUGGCUUACCAAGGUUUUGACGGGUAGCCGGCCUGAGAGGGUGACCGGCCACAUUGGUACUGAGAUACGGCCCAGACGCCUACGGGAGGCAGCAGUGGGGAAUAUUGCACAAUGGGCGGAAGCCUGAUGCAGCAACGCCGCGUGCGGGAUGACGGCCUUCGGGUUGUAAACCGCUUUCGCCUGUGACGAAGCGUGAGUGACGGUAAUGGGUAAAGAAGCACCGGCUAACUACGUG
rnacentral:rRNA from 1 species